UACGUAGGGGGCAAGCGUUAUCCGGAAUUACUGGGUGUAAAGGGUGAGUAGGCGGCAUGGUAAGCCAGAUGUGAAAGCCUUGGGCUUAACCCGAGGAUUGCAUCUGGAACUAUCAAGCUAGAGUACAGGAGAGGAAAGCGGAAUUCCUAGUGUAGCGGUGAAAUGCGUAGAUAUUAGGAAGAACACCAGUGGCGAAGGCGGCUUUCUGGACUGAAACUGACGCUGAGGCACGAAAGCGUGGGGAGCGAACAGG
rnacentral:rRNA from 1 species